AGGCUUGUAGCUCAGUUGGUUAGAGCACACCCCUGAUAAGGGUGAGGUCGGUGGUUCAAGUCCACUCAGGCCUA
rnacentral:tRNA from 1 species